AGUCAUCAAAUUUUUGUUGCACACCACUGUCAUACACAUGUAGCUGCUGAUCUCUAUAAACAAACAAUACACAUUACUACUAAUAACUUCUUAAAUAACUACACUAAAAAAAAGUAUGAUUUGAAAGACAAAAGCAACAUGACACAAUAUAAAAAAUCAAAAGUUACUUAUAGUUUAAAUAAACUUUAACCGCUUUAAUUCACAUAUUUAACCGUUAUACAAUAACCUUUUUUGCUCCGAGAUUUCUAUAUUUAGACGAUAUACAGCGUAAACAAUUCUCUUUAUCUACAAGCGACUAGCUAAAUUACACUCGAUCUCACACUAAUAUAGAAUGCUAUUUUUAUAAAAUAAAAUGUUCUAAAUUUAACUUAAUCUGUCCAGUUUUCCGUUAUGUCAUAAUAAUUUUUCAUUUCUAUACAAAAAAAUUUAUAUUAAAUUAAAUAUAAGACGUAGCAGUUACGUCACGAAUACAAGUUGUUGAGACAUUCAAUUGUUAGGAAACAAUUGUUAGUUAUUUUUAUAUUUUCAAUUGUUCCCCGCCAUUUCCAAAUUGUACAAAUAGCAAACCUUUCGAGUUCUUUCUCUGAAAUAUGUUACUUUAAGUAUAAAUUUUCUUAUGAGAAAACUUCGAAAAAAAAACAUCGAGUCGUAUGCGUGUAGAAAUAAUAUUAUAUUUCUACAGGAAUAAGUCAGCUUUUGGCGACGUCGUGAAGACUGGCGAAGGAUUAUUUACAGAACCGUCGAGUCGCACGAGGGAAUAAGUCAGCUUUUGGCGACGUCGUGAAGACUGGCGAAGGAUUAUUUACAGAACCGUCGAGUCGCAUGUG